GUGAUUUUUACAUUAUUGAGUGACAGAUUUUGUUUUAUUCCUUUAAAGAGUUUUGGACACAAUUCUCUAAGAAUGGCAGGGUUUCUGUUGAUUCCCACUUUUUAUGCAGGUGCCUGGAAAUCACCAGGUAGACAACUGGGGUGAUUUUAGGGCUUGGUUUGCUUGUUUCCCUUCGUCACUGAUCACAAUCCUGUACUACCUAUUGUCCAUUAUCUGAAAAUAGCUGUUUCAGACAUUUUUUUCAGUUCACUCACUUAGGAUAGGAGAACUUUUUGUGAGGCUGUUACCUUUUCAUGGAUGGAAGUAAAAGUACAUUAGAUGACCUUCCUUUUCAAAUGUGUGUAAUUUUGGAUCCCUGCUUUGUUAUGCUUAUUGAUAGGAAACUGAUUUUCUCCAUUUUCAGAAAGCAUCAUCCUUCAGAGAACAGGAAACACUUUGAAACUCUGGUAUCUACAAUGAGUGAAGAGAGGUUUUCUGGUGGCUUCAGCAUGGUUUGGGAGACCUUCUGGCUUCCAUCCUGUUAAUCAUGCAGCUUUCAGUCUGCAAGCUUGAGAUGAGGGAUCCCACCACUGGAACUUUAGCUGUUCUGAUACAGGCUUGCUGGUGGUAUCUUCUGCAAGCAUCACACCCAUGCUGCCUUCUGGGGAGAGACUGGUACCUCCUGCCGACAUACUGAAUUGCCCUCUGAGGACAAGGAGAUGCUCACAGGCCUUGCUACCUCAUAGGUGGGUACAUGUUGGAAGCACCUGCCCUGGCCACGCUGGCUCUGCUUCUUCCUGGAUUCAUGAAGGUUGCUCCUGCCAGUGCUGGGUUGAUCUGCCCCGAGUGUGAAGACUUGGUGGAUGCCAUGUCAUAGUACCUGCCAUCAUUGCUGCCUCCCCUGCCCCUGCUGCCAUCCUUUUGCCAGGUAUCGCAGGUUUCAUGAUGGCAAGAGUACGUGCUCCCAUAAGACUGCUAGGAGGACUCUUGGAGUCCUCGCUCCCCAUUAAGCAUAACCAGAAGAGAUGACUUUAACUAGCUCAGAGAUGAUGUGAAGUCAACCUGAUGCUGACCUGAUCUUGAUGUUCUUCUCCGAAGAUAUUCAUGACCUGUGCUGAGGGGGAAGAAACAAAUAGAGAAGGAAAUGAGUGAAAGGCCUCUCUCCCUCUCCUUUGAAUAACUCAAGGGCUUGUAAUUAGAAGAAUUUUUGAUGUUAAGUCCAAUCUCUUUAACAUCCUGUCAUAUGGUAGUGAUUCAUGUUUUGCUUGAACAGUUCAAGUGUUAAAAAGAGCACAAGUGAAUGUCCUCAUACCCCUUUAUUUUUGUACACUUUUUGUUCAUACAGCUGCAGAAUAGAUUCCAAAGGCAGUUCAUGUUUUCACAUGAGCCUCACAGCACCAACUGCUUUGUAGCAGCAAAGUACCAUGGCGCGGUUUUCUCCUGAAUCUUAGGUAGACUCUUCUUGCCCUCUGCCUCUGCUGCUGCUACUGCUGCUAAGUCACUUCAGUCGUGUCCGACUCUGUGCGAUCCCAUAGAUGGCAGCCCACCAGGCUCCUCUGUCCAUGGGAUUUUCCAGGCAAGAGUACUGGAGUAGGGUGCCAUUGCCUUCUCCAGUCCUCUGCCUCAAAGGCAGAUAAAUCCACUCUGUCCCAGCUGGGAUGGCCUGAGCACUGCUAGAGCUCUUCCCUGAUAGUCUUGGGAGGUUUUUCCAGUACAUGGAAAGAUCUCCAGCACUUAAAGAGCAACACACCUGAAGGUAAAAAGAGCAACUGGUGGCAACUUUCAGAUGGAGGCAUUGCCUGCGAAUUGAUUGCCUGUGCAGAUCCAUGCCUGUGGAUUGCUAUCUUAAGUUCAAACAGGGCUGUUAACCCUUGGCCUAGCCAUAUUCUCCUCGCUCUUUUCAAAGAGGGACCAAGUCCUGUGCAUUCUACUUCACUUCUCACAUCCACCUCUUUUUCUUGACAGGCCAAGCCCUAAUUUGGAUUAAGUACAUUAAGUACAUCACUGAUCUCAUCAUGUUAGUCGCUCAGUCAUGUCCGACUCUUUGUGACCUCAUGGACUGUAGCCCACCAGGCUCCUCUGUCCAUAGAAUGGCUCCCUGCCAUCUGCUAAAAUAAGUACAUGCAAAUCCCUCCCUCUGGCACGCAAGGCCCAUUGAACAUCCUCAAUCGCCCUGUCUGGUGUUACUUUCCACAAUCCCCCUUAUACACUCAGUCGAAGGUCUCUUCCUCCACAAAGGCUUGGUGAACCUCUGGGGCCAUGUCAUAUCUCUCCUUCCUUUGAAUCCAUACCAUAUUUGGGAGUCCUACAGAGACACCUAACAUCUUCAGUUCCACAUUGGAGUGUAUUCUUUGCAUCACUGUCUUUGUUCUGCUCUAUGAUUCUUAAAGGGAGGGACUGAAACGCCUAGACUCACCUGGUCAGCUCUGAGGUCUUUGUAGGCUUGAGCCAUGUGAACCGUGUAAUGCAGCAACAUAGAUUUGUUGCUUAAGGCUAUCUUUUGUGAAGACGGCUGAAAAGACACAUUACCUCCUGUCCCAGUUUCCUUAUCAGCCUCCUAAGGAUCUGUUUCCCUAACUCCUACAAGCAGUGUCUGGUAAAUGCGGUGAACCCAUACCUAGCGCCCUUAGACAAAGGGGCCCUCUAGGCAGACCUAGCCCCUCAGGCAGUGUGGCUAGUAGAUUCCGGGCUGAGGCAAGCCAGCACCGUGAUGGUCACACAGCUGGUCAAAGAAACGCAGCCUGGAUUGUGGAUCUCACCCUCAGCUCCAAGCCAGGGGAGCCAGGCGCCCUGGUGCCAUGAGCUGCCUGCAGAACUGUGUGGGACAGCCUUACUGACUCUCAAACCUCAGACUUGAACUCCCCCACCCUUCCCUACCCCCAGCCCUACUCAAGUUCACUUGCUCAUCAAUCUGAGCAGCUUAGCUUUCCUUGUAGACCAGAGGUCAGCCAACCAUGGGCUGUAUCCAACCCACUACUUGUUUUGGAAAUAAAGUUUUACUGGAA
ensembl:lncRNA